rnacentral:rRNA from 1 species
ACUGGGACUGAGACACGGCCCAGACUCCUACGGGAGGCAGCAGUGGGGAAUAUUGCGCAAUGGGGGAAACCCUGACGCAGCGACGCCGCGUGAGCGAUGAAGGCCUUAGGGUUGUAAAGCUCUGUUUUAGGGGACGAAUGUUACAGGGAGUAAUAUGUCCUGUAAAUGACGGUACCCUAAGAGGAAGCCCCGGCUAACUACGUGCCGGCAGCCGCGGUAAGACGUAGGGGGCGAGCGUUGUCCGGAAUUACUGGGCGUAAAGAGCACGUAGGCGGAGACUUAAGUCAGGUGUGAAAGACCGGGGCUCAACCCCGGGGUGGCACUUGAAACUGGGUCCCUUGAGGGCAGGAGAGGGCAGUAGAAUUCCUGGUGUAGCGGUGAAAUGCGUAGAAAUCAGGAGGAAUACCAGUGGCGAAGGCGACUGCCUGGACUGACCCUGACGCUGAGGUGCGAAGGCGUGGGUAGCAAACAGGAUUAGAUACCCUGGUAGUCCACGCCGUAACGAUGGAUACUAGGUGUGGGAGGUAU